CACCGAUAAAGGCAAACCUGAUCGAAAGACAGGGACGCAAAGCUAUAGGGCCUUACCCCCAGGGGGUUGGCAGCCAGCCGCCGAA
rnacentral:ncRNA from 1 species